UGGGGAAUAUUGGGGCAAUGGGGCGAAAGCCUGACCCAGCGACGCCGCGUGAGGGAAGAAGGUCUUCGGAUUGUAAACCUUUGUAGACAGGGACGAAGAAAUGACGGUACCUGUAAAGUAAGCCACGGCUAACUACGUGCCAGCAGCCGCGGUAAUACGUAGGUGGCAAGCGUUAUCCAGAUUUAUUGGGUGUAAAGGGUGAGUAGGCGGGCUGACAAGUCAGAUGUGAAAUGUUCGGGCUUAACCUGAGAACUGCAUUUGAAACUGCCAGUCUUGAGUGUCGGAGGGGUAAUCGGAAUUCCCGGUGUAGCGGUGAAAUGCGUAGAUAUUCGGAGGAACACCGGUGGCGAAGGCGGCCAACUGGGGCUUUUACUGACGCUGAGGCUCGAAAGUGUGGGGAGCAAACAGGAUUAGAUACCCUGGUAGU
rnacentral:rRNA from 1 species